CGUCUCGGAAAAUAUCAGCCCAGUCUCGAAAUCUCGGCAUUCUAAACAAGAGUCUCGGAAUCUCGGGCUCGCUGCACGUUGAACAGUCUCGAAGUCUUGAACUCGGUGUCGGAUUUUCAAACAAGGUCUCGCAAAGUCUUGGAUUUACCAUUCUAUACCCAUUGUUGCAUGAGCUUCCUGUUCACUGGUAGGAUUAAAGAUCGAAUAUUGGACUCCUGGCGCCAAUUUCGGAAUAGAUUCCAAAAAAGAUCUAGAGCGACAUAGGCGGCGGAAGCGGGGGGACUGGAGGAGGCUUCAGCCCCCCGCUUUUGUAGAAUAAUAAAUAAUUCUCACUUAUUUCACCACGGUCAACUCAUCAGGACUUAAAAAUACGAUUUUUAUACAAGGCUUUAAUUGAACAAAGGCUCCACAAGAUGUCCGCACCAGUUUUACAGCUAAUGCUCAAAACUGAUGGUAGACCAUUUUGGGUUAAUUAAUCAUAAAGGAUUUUACAGUACUUACAGUUAGUUUUAAUGAAUAAAUUUGUUUUCAUAGGACAGUUAGUUUCAUAAAUCUGGUUUAACUGUUCCAUCCUUAGAUGAAAAUAAUAUGUUCUGGCAAUUUAGGAGCUGAAAGUAAAGUAAUUUUGAAAAAAAGUUCUCUUAACUUAAUUGAAUUAAAACAAACUUAUUUAUUUGAAA